rnacentral:rRNA from 1 species
GGAUGAACGCUGGCGGCGUGCCUAAUACAUGCAAGUCGAGCGAACAGACGAGGAGCUUGCUCCUUUGACGUUAGCGGCGGACGGGUGAGUAACACGUAGGUAACCUACCUAUAAGACUGGGAUAACUUCGGGAAACCGGAGCUAAUACCGGAUAAUAUUUCGAACCGCAUGGUUCGAUAGUGAAAGAUGGCUUUGCUAUCACUUAUAGAUGGACCUGCGCCGUAUUAGCUAGUUGGUAAGGUAACGGCUUACCAAGGCAACGAUACGUAGCCGACCUGAGAGGGUGAUCGGCCACACUGGAACUGAGACACGGUCCAGACUCCUACGGGAGGCAGCAGUAGGGAAUCUUCCGCAAUGGGCGAAAGCCUGACGGAGCAACGCCGCGUGAGUGAUGAAGGUCUUCGGAUCGUAAAACUCUGUUAUUAGGGAAGAACAAACGUGUAAGUAACUGUGCACGUCUUGACGGUACCUAAUCAGAAAGCCACGGCUAACUACGUGCCAGCAGCCGCGGUAAUACGUAGGUGGCAAGCGUUAUCCGGAAUUAUUGGGCGUAAAGCGCGCGUAGGCGGUUUUUUAAGUCUGAUGUGAAAGCCCACGGCUCAACCGUGGAGGGUCAUUGGAAACUGGAAAACUUGAGUGCAGAAGAGGAAAGUGGAAUUCCAUGUGUAGCGGUGAAAUGCGCAGAGAUAUGGAGGAACACCAGUGGCGAAGGCGACUUUCUGGUCUGUAACUGACGCUGAUGUGCGAAAGCGUGGGGAUCAAACAGGAUUAGAUACCCUGGUAGUCCACGCCGUAAACGAUGAGUGCUAAGUGUUAGGGGGUUUCCGCCCCUUAGUGCUGCAGCUAACGCAUUAAGCACUCCGCCUGGGGAGUACGACCGCAAGGUUGAAACUCAAAGGAAUUGACGGG